rnacentral:rRNA from 1 species
UACGGGGGGGGGCAAGCGUUGUUCGGAAUUACUGGGCGUAAAGGGCGCGUAGGCGGCCUGCUAAGUCGGACGUGAAAUCCCCCCGGCUCAACCGGGGAACUGCGUCCGAUACUGGUGGGCUCGAAUCCGGGAGAGGGAUGUGGAAUUCCAGGUGUAGCGGUGAAAUGCGUAGAUAUCUGGAGGAACACCGGUGGCGAAGGCGGCAUCCUGGACCGGUAUUGACGCUGAGGCGCGAAAGCCAGGGGAGCAAACGGG